GGGCUUGUGGUUUAGUGGUAUAAUACUCCCUUAGCACGGACACACCAACGGCAUCAUUCACGAUGUUUCUUUGCCAGAAGGUGUUCGUUUAAUAACUUGGGAGUGGUCCGGGGUUCGAUUCCCCGCGAGUCCA